GCCCCGAGCAGCAGCGGCCGCUUCGCCCUCGUCCGUGCAGGGAGCAGCGGGCACCGAGUGGCAGGAGGUGCAGGAGAAGAAAGUGGAGGCCUCCAUGGUGUGUGGAAAAAAGCAUAAACCAAGAGUGAGCAGAGGAAGCCUGGAUGAGUGAAGUGGAGCAGGAGGUGCUGGAGAAGAAAGAGGAAGCAUCCAUGGUGUGUUGAAGGAAGCAGGAAGCAAG